ACAGCUCAGCUGGUUAGAGCAUGGGGCUAAGAAUGCCAAGGUUGCAGGUUCAAUUCCCAUAUGAGACA